rnacentral:rRNA from 1 species
UACGUAGGGCGCAAGCGUUGUCCGGAAUUAUUGGGCGUAGAGAGCUCGUAGGCGGUUAGUCACGUCUGCUGUGAAAACUCGAGGCUCAACCUCGGGCUUGCAGUGGGUACGGGCUGACUAGAGUGCGGUAGGGGUGACUGGAAUUCCUGGUGUAGCGGUGGAAUGCGCAGAUAUCAGGAGGAACACCGAUGGCGAAGGCAGGUCACUGGGCCGCAACUGACGCUGAGGAGCGAAAGCAUGGGGAGCGAACAGG